GCACUGUCGAGGAGUCCCAUAAUAGGACGAAACGGCCGUCCAGUGC
rfam:Schistosoma mansoni strain Puerto Rico chromosome 6, complete genome